rnacentral:rRNA from 1 species
ACUCAAAGGAAUUGACGGGGGCUCACACAAGCGGUGGAGCAUGUGGCUUAAUUCGAGGCUACGCGCAGAACCUUAUCCCAGGCUUGACAUGCACGGAUUAGCCGGCGGAAACGUCGGUAAGGCCGCAAGGUACAACGUGCACAGGUGCUGCAUGGCUGUCGUCAGCUCGUGUCGUGAGAUGUUGGGUUAAGUCCCGUAACGAGCGAAACCCCUGUGGCUAGUUACCAGCGGGUAAAGCCGGGAACUCUAGCCAGACCGCCGGUGCAAGCCGGAGGAAGGCGGGGACGACGUCAAGUCCUCAUGGCCCUUAUGCCUGGGGCUGCACACGUGCUACAAUGGGGCGGACAAAGCGACGCUAACCCGCAAGGGCCUGCCAAUCGCAAAAACCGUCCCCCAGUUCGGAUUGCGGGCUGCAACCCGCCCGCAUGAAGCCGGAAUCGCUAGUAAUCGCGGAUCAGCACUGCCGCGGUGAAUGUGUUCCUGAGCCUUGCACACACCGCCCGU